CUGGGGUACUCGAGUGGCGAACGGGUGAGUAACACGUGGGUGAUCUGCCCUGCACUUCGGGAUAAGCCUGGGAAACUGGGUCUAAUACCGGAUAGGAGCCAUUUUUAGUGUGAUGGUUGGAAAGUUUUUCGGUGUAGGAUGAGCUCGCGGCCUAUCAGCUUGUUGGUGGGGUAAUGGCCUACCAAGGCGGCGACGGGUAGCCGGCCUGAGAGGGUGGACGGCCACAUUGGGACUGAGAUACGGCCCAG
rnacentral:rRNA from 1 species